AACGAACGCUUGCUGCAUGCUUUAUACAUGCAAGUCGAACGAAGGCCCUAGCUUGCUAGGUGUCCUUAGUGGCGCACGGGUGAGUAACACGUGGGAACAUACCUUAUAGUACGGAAUAACUGCGGGAAACUGUAGCUAAUACCGUAUAUUCCAGUAAUGGGAAAGAUUUAUCGCUAUAAGAUUGGCCCGCGCAAGAUUAGCUUGUUGGUGAGGUAAAAGCUCACCAAGGCUUCGAUCUUUAGCUGGUUUGAGAGGAUGAUCAGCCACACUGGGACUGAGACACGGCCCAGACUCCUACGGGAGGCAGCAGUAGGGAAUAUUGGACAAUGGGGGCAACCCUGAUCCAGCAAUGCAGCGUGAGUGACGAAGGCCUUAGGGUUGUAAAACUCUUUCAUCGGUG
rnacentral:rRNA from 1 species